GACGAACGCUGGCGGCGUGCCUAACACAUGCAAGUCGAGCGGGGAUGUAUGGAGGAAGUUUUCGGAUGGAAUCGAUACAUUCUAGCGGCGGACGGGUGAGUAACGCGUGAGCAACCUGCCUUUCACAGGGGGAUAACGGAUCGAAAGAUUCACUAAUACCGCAUGAGACCACGAUACCGAGUGGUAUAGGGGUCAAAGGAGCAAUCCGGUGAAAGAUGGGCUCGCGUCCGAUUAGGUAGUUGGUGGGGUAAUGGCUCACCAAGCCAAUGAUCGGUAGCCGACCUGAGAGGGUGAUCGGCCACACUGGAACUGAGAGACGGUCCAGACUCCUACGGGAGGCAGCAGUGGGGAAUAUUGGGCAAUGGGGGAAACCCUGACCCAGCAACGCCGCGUGAGGGAUGACGGCCUUCGGGUUGUAAACUCCUUUCGCUAGGGACGAAGCCUUUUUGGUGACGGUACCUGGAGAAGAAGCACCGGCUAACUACGUGCCAGCCGCCGCCGUAA
rnacentral:rRNA from 1 species